AACGGCCGUACCAUGCUGAAUAUACCGGUUCUCGUUAGAUCACCGAAGUCAAGCAUCAUUGGGCGCGGUCAGUACUUGGGUGGGUAACCACCUGGGAACACUGCGUGCCGUU
rnacentral:rRNA from 1 species